UUUUCCCAUCAUUCCUCUGGAGACAGAAGACUUUGCCAAGUGGUCCAAGCUUUGCUGAAGACCUAAGGACUUUGGGAUUGAUAGGUUUCAGCUCAAAUAUCACUUCUUCAGGGAAACCUCCCUGGAUCCCCCUGACUGCUUCAGCCCUUCUGCCUAGUACAUCUCAGAGCACAUUUCCUUAUCAAAUAUCAUGAGAUAAGGUCUUUCUCUGCCACUCAAGCUGGAGUACAGUGGCAUGAUCAUAGCUCACUGCAGCAUCAACCUCCUGGGCUCAAGCCAUCUUCCAACCUCACAGCCACCUGGGUAGCUGGGACUAUGGGUACCCACCCCAUACCCGGGCCCCUGAGCUCCACCGGCAGAACCAGCUGUCCUAAUCUGCAGCCCUUUACCUGGACCUCACCCAUUCUCAGAUGACAUGGCCUUGAGUGUCUCUGCACCUCCCUUCCUGAACCCCUUGCAUCUUCCUGGUUACUCCUCCUUUGCCUGUCCUGUUCCCUCAGGGCCUCGCUUCCAGCUACUAACAGAGCUGACAAGCCAUAGCAGGACGGCUAUCCCCUGAGAGAUAGGAGAGGAGGAGAAACAGCCUGACAGGGGCCUGGAGCAGCUGGCUGGCGUCAGUAAUUUCCUGCAGGAGACUCUGCUGGCCGAGCACACAUCACCCUUCUGUUGCUCCUCUGUAUUCUCCCUUGUGCUACUAAAAUACGCUAAUGUAACUCCUGGGCUGUGCUAAGCUAAAUGCAGUUAUUUAACCUCAUUUCUAUGGAACCCAGGUCUAAAGCAGCAACAUCUAUUUGGAACAAGAUGGGGAGGAGCAAGAGUGAAUUCAUGCUCUUCUUCAUGGAGGUGGAUGUUUCUGGAAGGAGGUUUGUGAUGUCCUUUGCAGGGACAUGGAUGGAGUUGGAAGCCCUUAUCCUCAGCAAACUAAUGCAGGAACAGAAAACCAAACACUGCAUGUUCUUACUUAUAAGUGGGAACUGAAUGAUGAGAACACAUGGACACAUAAGGGGAAAUGACACACACUGGGGCCUGUCAGAGCUGAGGGGUUGUGGGGAGAGGGAGAGAAUCAGGAAUAAUGGCUAAUGUAUGCUGUGCUUAAUAUCUAGGUGAUGGGAUGAUCUGUGCAGCAAACCACCAUGGCACACGUUUACCUAUGUAACAAACCUGGACAUCCUGCACAUGUAUCCUGGAACUUAAAAUAAAAGUUGAAGAAAAAAAAAAAAGAAAAAGUUUUGUGAAGUCUGGAGGUGUAAUGGACAGACACAGGCUUAGGGUGAGGCAGGCCCAUGUUCAGAUCCUUGCUUCCUCACUAAGCUAGCAGGGAGACUGGCUAUAUCACCGAGCCUCAGUUUCCUCACCUGUACAUCUGCUGUAGAAGUGGCAUAUCAUAUGCUGUCCUGGCUGUGACCUUUGGUAGCUCAUCACUGCCCUUCUUACUGUUCUCAGGGUAAACCCCUUUCCAGGCAGAGUUGCCAAGACACCCAGUAAAAUUUGAAUUUCAGAUAAACACUGAAUAAUUUUUUAGUAUAAUGAUGCUCCAAAUAUUGCAUGGGAUAUACUUAACACUAAAAAAAAAAUCAUUGUUUGUCUGAAAUUCAGAUUUAACUGGGCAACCUGCAUUUUUAAAUAAACUUUUAAUUUUAGAAUCAUUUUAGAUUUACAGAAAAAAAUAUAAAGAUCGUACAGAGUUACCACACACCCUGCACCCAGUUUCCCCUAUAACUAAUAUCUUACGUCGAGCCAGUGCAGUGGCGCACAUUUGUAAUCCUAGCUGCUCAGGAGGCUGAGGUGGGAGUAUUGUUUGAGCCCAGGAGCUCGAGGCUGCAGUGAGCCAUGAUUGCACCAUUGCACUCCAGCCUGAGUGACGGAGUAAGAUGCCAUCUUUUAAAAAAAAAUCUUAUGCCAGUAUGAUACAUUUGUCACAAUUAAUGAACUAAGAUUGAUAUAUUAUCAUUAACUAAAGUCUAUACUUCAUUAGAUUUCCUUAGUUUUUCCCCAGUGUCCUUUUCUAUUCCAGGAUCCUGUCCAGGACACCAUAUCAUAUUUAGUUGUCAAGUCUUCCUAGUUCCUCUUGGCUGUGACAGUUUUUUAGACUUCCCUUGUUUUUGAUGACCUUGACCGUUUUGAGGAGCACUGGUCUGGGGUUUUGUAGAAUGCCCCUCAAUUCAGCCUGUCAGAUGUUUUUCUCAUGAUUAGGCUGGGGUAUUAUUUUUUUGGGAGGAAGACCACAGAGGUCAAGAGCCAUUCUCUUCACAUCUCGUUAAGGGUCUGUACUGUCCAUAUGACUUACCACUGUUGAUGUUGACCUUGAUCACCUGGCUAAGGUAGUGUUCAUCAGGUUUAGCAACUGUAUUUUCAUUUGCUAAAUCUGUAACUCGAUUCCAGGCCUGUCAGUCUUUCAUGACCAGACCUUUGCUUACUGCUGCUGCCAUUUUUCUGCUCCAACCAUAGUGAACUGCUAACAAUUCCUCUAAUGAACUAUUCUCUGUCUCUCUUACUGCCAGGCCUUAGGGCUUGCUCUUUCCUUUGCCUGGAAUGUUCCACUCCCCCACAGCCUCCCAUCCACACCUCCCCUUCACCCGAUUAACUUACUUUUCAGUUGGGCUUCAGUGUUCCGCUUAGGUCUCACUCCUUCCGGGAAGAUUUCUUGCACCCUCCUCUGCCAAGACCAGGUUAGGUGUUGCUUCUCUGCCCUGGUCCUACUGUGUUGUGAUAUUUACCAUCCUGUGGUUGUGAACUGUUUGCUUGUCUCCCUGACCCCAGUGCAUCCCUGACAUCUUACACAGUGCCUUGUUGCAACUCAAUAAAUAAUUGCUGAAUAAAUGAAUGGUUACACCAGGCACUUCAGGUAAAGCCUUUAACACACUACCUGCCUUGUAAACAGUAGAUGCUCAGUAAAUGCUUGUCUUUUUCAAUGUAGGAAAAAUAAUCUUCCCUAGAUCUGAGCAACUGUAAUAAGUUUGUGCUCGCCCGACACCCGCAACACAUGUCCCUACCUGGAGAAGAGAUUCUGGAACAGUGGUCUCCUAGGAUUCCCUGAGAGCCACAGUUACCUGUAUCAAAGUAUCAAGGAGGCCACUUAAUGACAGAGAUAUUAGGGUAAGUAGGCUACUUUCCGUCAGUUUGCAGAUUAAAAAGGCAUCUUUCUCCCAGUGGAGAAACUGAAUUAUGAACCCCUUCGCCCAGAUUUCCAUAGUUGGACGCGCUGACCCAUUAUUUUUAGUGAAAGGGACAAAGGGACCCACCUCCUUCUCUUUUUGCUGCCCAUGUGCCACACACAUGUAAAUGACAUGUGUACCUAUUGUUGCUUGUCCUUGAUGAUGAGUACACUUGUACAUUGAUAUAUUUAUUAGUGUUUUGCUUUUCACUAAUCCAGCAUAGUUGUGACCCCACCCCUGAGACCUAAAGGAAGGAGACACCUCAUAGGGGGUCUCAGGAAUCUCUGAUGAACCUUAGGACUAAUUAUAAUUCUUUCAUUUAUUAUAACUUCAUGCCAGGUAUUUUAUCUGCCUCACCUCUAAUCCUCUCAAUAACCUUGCAUGUUUUUAUUCAUCCCGUAUUACAAAUGAGAAAGCUAAGGUUUGGGUGCUUAAGAAAUUUUCCCCAAGUUUUUUUUGUGGUGGAGCCAGCUUGGAGCUAGGGCAAUAGACUUCAGAGUCUCAGCUCCAUCCUCUCCAUGGUUCAGAAAGUUCUCUAGUUCUGUAAGAGACAGCCAACAUCCCCCAAGGGCUUGUGCUCAUUGGAAUGGCUCUCGGGUCCACUCCUCCCUUUGUAUCCCCAGGUCACCUCACUAGAGCAGACCUCCAUCAGUCAGUGUUUACCCACCUUCCAGAGCCUCCUUCCUGGACUCUUGCCCCCGGAUUCCCCACCCAUAGCACUCUCACACUGCCAUCGCCCAACUCAGGAUCCCAAGAAUGCCCAUUUUCAGCCUUAUAAAUCCUUUGCCUUGCUUCCAAGACCCUAUGGUCUAUUUCUUUUCCAAGCCUUCUCUCCGUGCAUCAGAUUCUUCAUGAAACUUACACUGACUAGUCCCCCACCCAUCUCCCUUUCCUUGGAUCUUCAUGGCACCUAGGUAUGCAAGGCAUAAAGUAGUGUAGAAUGCCCUUCUGGCUUGUGUGGAACCACAGGGGAGUCCCCUGGGUUUCUAAUAUGGUUUUCCCAUCUGGAUUGACACCCCCGAAGGACAAAAACCUCUUGUUAAAAAAGUCAACUUUAUUGAGGUAUAACAUACAUACACCCUGUUUUAAGUGUUGAGUUUGAUAAGGUUUGACAAAUGUAUACACCCAGGUAACCACCGUCACAACCAAGAUAUAGAACAUUUCUAUCACCCCAGAAAUACCUCUGAGCCCCUUUGUAGUCAAUUCCUCCACCCCCGACCCAGGAAGCCACUUGUUGGAUUUCUAUUAAUAUAGAUUAGUUUUGCCUGCCGUUGAACUCCACAAAAAUGCAGUCACAAAGGGUGUAGUCUUUUGUGUCAGCCUAUUUUGGUUAGCACGAUAUUUUAAAGAUUCCUCCAUACUGUUUAUUACUUUCUUCUUGCUGAGUAGUAUUCUAUGGUAGAGACUAUACUACAACUUGAUUGUCCAUGUUGACUAAAUUUGAGGCUGUUUCACAUUUUUGGCUAUUGUGAAUAAAGUAGCUAUGAAUGUUUACACACAAGCCUUUUGUGAAUGUGUUUUCAUUUCUU
rnacentral:lncRNA from 10 species